rnacentral:rRNA from 1 species
UACGGAGGGUGCGAGCGUUACCCGGAUUUACUGGGUGUAAAGGGCGUGUAGGCGGUCUCUUUAGUCCGAUGCUAAAGACCGAAGCUCAACUUCGGGAGUGCGUUGGAUACUGUGAGGCUAGACGGUCGGAGAGGGUAGCGGAAUUUCCGGAGUAGCGGUGAAAUGCGCAGAUACCGGAAGGAACGCCAAUAGCGAAAGCAGCUACCUGGACGAUUUGUGACGCUGAGGCGCGAAAGCGUGGGGAGCAAACCGG